ensembl:lncRNA
UCCAUUUUUAUAAUCUGAAACAUUUGAAGAACGAGUUUCUAUGUGGAUCUUCUGAUCGCCCUGCAUUCUUUCAGGAUGAUCACGCAGGGACGACAGAGUGAGGGCAAAACACAAACCCGAAACCUGAAGGUAUUUGUCUUGUGGUUCAGGAAACGGGUUUGACCAGAACAAAGGAGGUUGUGUACUGAACCACACCCUCUGGCUUCAAAAACUACGGAGAGGCAAAAGGUGCUGUUGGGAUACUCUACGGAUUGACAUACUUUAUAUAUGAACUUUGCCUUCUCUGGAUAUUAUCUCUAUAUACUAUUAAUUCCGGUAUCAAUAUACGAUUACCUUAAGCACACUAUCCAGCAGUCUUCUAUGGAUGACCGUGGCGGCGUGGAUUGCUCCGUAAGCAAACAGGAAAGCACGAGCAGCGGUGAAGACGGUAUUGGCUACAGCUAGAGAACCGUACACAGUCAUGUAGAACUUCAGCUCUGAGCUCAUAUUGCCAAACGAGUCUCUGACUGAGAGAAGCACUAGGGCAGAGAGAGGACUUGCUGUCAGAGACACCAGUUCAGACCCAUUAGCUUUUAAGUUGGAGAUCCAGUGAGAG